rnacentral:misc_RNA from 1 species
AUAUUUUAGUGGUAACUCAUCACCACCACAAGAUGGUUCAAAAGAGUUCCAACAAGAUUGGAUAAGAAUCAAGGAUGAAUAUAAACAGUUAUGUAAAAAGAUACAAGACGCAAGUACACAAGAACCAGAGACAUGUGAUUUUGCUGGAGAUUUUGCUGUUUUCUCAAAUAUCCAACCCAAAAAUCAUCCAACCAUUAUAAAGGUUAUAUUGGAGAACAA